rnacentral:rRNA from 1 species
CCUACGGGAGGCAGCAGUGAGGAAUAUUGGUCAAUGGGCUUACGCCUGAACCAGCCAAGUCGCGUGAGGGAAGACUGCCCUAUGGGUUGUAAACCUCUUUUGUCAGGGAGCAAUUGGCGCUACGUGUAGCGCUAUCGAUAGUACCUGAAGAAAAAGCAUCGGCUAACUUCGUGCCAGCAGCCGCGGUAAUAGGGAGGAUGCGAGCGUUAUCCGGAUUUAUGGGGUUUAAAGGGUGCGUAGGCGGAAUGCCAAGUCAGCGGUAAAAUCGCGGGGCUAAACCUGGCUCCGCUGUUGAAACUGGCGUUCUUGAGUGGGCGAGAGGUAUGCGGAAUGCGUGGUGUAGCGGUGAAAUGCAUAGAUAUCACGCAGAACUCCGGUUGCGAAGGCAGCAUACCGGAGCGCAACUGACGCUGAGGCACGAAAGCGUGGGUAUCGAACAGGAUUAGAUACCCCUGUAGUC